rnacentral:rRNA from 1 species
CGACCGGCGCACGGGUGCGUAACGCGUAUGCAACCUACCUUUAACAGGGGGAUAACACUGAGAAAUUGGUACUAAUACCCCAUAAUAUCAUAGAAGGCAUCUUUUAUGGUUGAAAAUUCCGAUGGUUAGAGAUGGGCAUGCGUUGUAUUGGCUAGUUGGUGGGGUAACGGCUCACCAAGGCGACGAUACAUAGGGGGACUGAGAGGUUAACCCCCCACACUGGUACUGAGACACGGACCAG